rnacentral:rRNA from 1 species
UACAGAGGGGGCAAGCGUUGUUCGGAAUUACUGGGCGUAAAGGGCGCGUAGGCGGCCUGUUAAGUCGAACGUGAAAUCCCCGGGCUCAACCCGGGAACUGCGUCCGAUACUGGCAGGCUUGAAUCCGGGAGAGGGAUGUGGAAUUCCAGGUGUAGCGGUGAAAUGCGUAGAUAUCGGGAGGAACACCAGUGGCGAAGGCGACUUCCUGGCCUGUUCUUGACGCUGAGGCGCGAAAGCUAGGGGAGCAAACGGG